UAUUAUAAUAUAACUCUACAAAGUUGAACAUAGGCUGAGUCUCUAUGCCUUGAAUGGAGCACUGGAUUGGAUACCCGGGAAACCGGCGCUUCCAUUUAUAAGAAGUUAAAUUACUGGAAGCGUCUGUAAGGUUACAACACAAGUCACUGAUAAUUCUGAUGAAUAUUUCAAGUUACUGACAUCUGCCCGGCAUCAAUGAUAAACGGCGGCUGUAUUUUAAACGGUCCUAAGGUAGCAAAAUUCCUUGUCGGGUAAUCUCCGUCCUGCAUGAACGGUGUAACGACUUCCCCAUUGUCGCUAGUGUGAGACUCCUAAUAAAUAGAAUUAUCCAUGAAUAUGUGGAAUCAUACGGCCCGACGGUAAGACCCUGAGCACCUUAACUUCCCUAAAAGUUCUUAUGUGUUGGCAUGGUUACGAGAUUUAAGGAU
rnacentral:ncRNA from 1 species